AGCUUUGCGCAGUGGCAGUAUCAGAGCCAAUGAGGUUUAUCCAAGGUGCGAUUAUUGCUAAUUGAAAACUUUUCCCAAUACCCUGCCGGGACGACUUGAAAAAUAGUCAGCAUUGGCAAUUUUUGACAGUUUCCACAGAAU
ensembl:snRNA U4 U4 spliceosomal RNA